rnacentral:rRNA from 1 species
UACGGGGGGAGCAAGCGUUGUUCGGAUUUACUGGUCGUAAAGGGCGCGUAGGCGGCCACCGCAAGUCGACCGUGAAAUCUCCGGGCUUAACCCGGAAAGGUCAGCCGAUACUGCGGGGCUAGAGUGCAGAAGGGGCAACUGGAAUUCUCGGUGUAGCGGUGAAAUGCGCAGAUAUCGGGAGGAACACCGGUGGCGAAGGCGGGUCUCUGGGCCGUAACUGACGCUGAGGAGCGAAAGCAUGGGGAGCGAACAGG